rnacentral:rRNA from 1 species
AGAGUUUGAUCAUGGCUCAGAACGAACGCUGGCGGCAUGCCUAAUACAUGCAAGUCGAACGCUUUUGGGGCUUCGGCUCCAAGGGAGUGGCGCACGGGUGAGUAGCGCGUGGGAACCUGCCCUGUUGUGGGGGAUAACCGAGGGAAACUUCGGCUAAUACCGCAUGCGCCCGCGGAGUUGAUCCGCGGGGAAAGAUUUAU